rnacentral:lncRNA from 1 species
GUGACGUACAAAGUCAAGUGUGUGCCCAACAGUUAUCUUCAUCUACCUUUACCCCUCCGUUGAUACCGUAUCAUACUUUAGGUACUUCAGGUCCAUGUGUUGAUCAGGUAAAGGUAUACUUUGUUUCAUAUGCAUGUUGUGUGACAAACAUUAAAUGAUCACUGGUAAUGUAUAACUAUUGUUUAUUUUAUUUUCAGCUGAACGGUACGGAUCGUUUCCCAAGAGCUUCCCACAUUGCAGACGACAUGGCCCGUAAUCGACCCUUUACGGCAAAUAAUGACAAUGACGAAAUCUGAUAUGGGAAUUGAAUUGGGGGUGAAACUCGGUUUUAUGUCAUUUCUGUGUUUUGAGGGGAAUUUUUCUGUCUUUAUGUAUAACUAUUGUUCAUUUCCUGUGCAUCUUGGUAGACUUUGUGGACUGUGCUUUUGCUUGGCAGUGUUAAUUGUAGUGUUUAUGACUUUAUGACUUUCCUGUGAUAUGGAUUUUACUGUCAGAUGGAUGUUGCUGUGAUAUGUAUUUUGCUUAUCAAGAUUUAUUUACAGGUCCAGAAAAUGUAUUUUGCCACAAAAUGUAUGUUGUAGUCAUUAGUGAUUGCUUGCUUAAUUCAAGAACAGCUCCAGGUAGUCGAUUGCUUGCUUAAUUCAUUAGUGAUUGCUUGCUUACUGAUUGCAGUUUACUGAUAAAUGGAGAGGCAGUUUACUGAUUUGCUUGUACUUCUAUAUAUUAAAACUGAUGCAAAUAGCUGGC